AAGAGUAAAUAAAUAAUUUGAGGCAAAUAUUUAUUACUGUAUUACUGGAUACACAACCAGCUUUUCAGUGUGAUAUGUUUGGUAUUUAUUGGUUACUUCUGAAGCAGUACGUAGUGGUUUCAUCUCCUUCACGAUUUGGUUAUCUUCUUAUAUGUCAAGGUCUUAAUGUAGGACCUAUGUCUUCUUUUUGCAAUGUCAAAUGCAUUGCUGUCACUAUCAAAAUAUCAGUAAUUACUGUGUUGUGUUAUUUUCAUAUUUUGACUUGGAAAAAUACUUCUCCACUCAACUGGAAGAACUUUCAUUGUUUGCGUGAGAGAUUCUAAAUCUCCAAUAUAGACUGGCCACUAUUUUUAUCAUAAGCACUUCCUGCUCAUGUCUGGGGGUGAACCUUGAUUCUUCAGUAUGUAACUCAAAUAGGAAUUAUCAAAGUUUGUUAUUUCCUCUCCUGUUUUGUUAUGAAGCAAACCUAGUGGGGUCAGGCUAAAUCUGGAGCUCAUCAGUAAAGCUACAUCUGUUCAAAUAAAGCCAUCAGUUCAGGCUUAAAUGGGUGUGGGCAAGAGACGAUUUCCACACAAUAUUCCAAAGUAAUUAUCAUACUAUGAAAGCGUUAAGCGAAACACAGACCAAUGUAUAACUUUGGAGCAAGCUUUUCAGGUGGCUUUGUUGUUUGGGAUUUUUUUUUUUUUUCCCUAAAAAUGGGAAACUCACAUUGAAUCCUUCCCCUAGAAAUUUGCCUAAUGUGUUAGUAAAUCAAAAGUUACUUGUAUGAAGAUUAUUGUCCCAAGCUUUGCUUAUGGUUUGUCAAAGAAAUUACUGUAUCCAACAGAGGAUAGGAGUGGCUAUGUAUCCAGGCAUAAUUCCAGCAAAAUGGUACAUUAGGUCUGUCAGUUGAUUACAUCAAAGAGGUUAUGACAACACUGCAUGUCUUCUGGUUAAGGAUGUAUCAUCAUGCUUAUUAGGACACAUUCCAAUAAUCUUCAGGUUCUUUUUAGUAGAUGGCAAAAGAAGAUCAGAGAGAUCUUAUACCCGUAGGCGAUUUUUAAUUGAUGGCAAAAGAAGAUCAGAGAGAUCUUGCACCUGCACAAGGUUUCAUUGUCCUUUGCCAUAUUAUGCUGAAAUGUUCUGUAACUGUAACCUCAAUAACUUAAUAAAUACUACAUGCAAAGUCUAAAAGAGCAUAUGUUACAAGAAAUUUUAUUACUAAAGUAAAGAAAACAUAUUGUUGAUAUGACUACAAUGGAGAGAUUUAUGUUGGGAAAGAUCAACAAGUGCAAAUACAGACUCGCCAGGUUCUACCUGAAGAAUGAGAACAAACAUUACAUUUCAGCAAAAAGGAAGAAAUGUACUUAGAACUCUCUUGGCCAGUUCUUCAGGAAUCAGUUUUCGCAAGGAUCGUGGUUUGUGUUCCCAACCCACUCUUUGAUGUUAUCUAACCGUUGUAUCAACUGUUUUCCUAUUACAUUAUUUUGAAAUGCUUUCCAAGGGCUUGUAUAAAUGUAAAUAGCUAGGCAUUUUCUGAGAUCAGGUUACACCCAAAAUACUUUAAACAAUCGUAUUGAUUUUAAUGAAUAAACUGCACUGUAUUAGCACUUCCAAAGAAUUAGAUUUUAAAAGUAGCGUGUGAAAAUAAUGAAGUUCUGUAAUAAUUGAUUUUACAAAUAGCAUCACCUACCUGAAAACUAUGGGAAUAUUAGAGACUGUGACUGUGGGAUUGGGCAUUAUUUCAUGUUAAUAAGAUGGUAUGCUCAAUGAGCAGCUGUAAAUAGAAAGAAAUACCAUGCAGGUUCAUUCAAAGUGUGGUGAAACUUCAUAAUAAAAUAGAUACCCAGUGACAGUCACAGAAAUAUAUCGAGUUGAAUAUAGGCUUGAACAGAAGAAACAGAACACAUUCUCAGGGGAAUUCUUGGCAGAGCAAGAACUCAUGGGCCAUGUGCCUGUCAAGGAAAGAGGAAAAGAGGUGUCAGUACAAAGAACAUGCCAAGACCUUCUCGAGUAACUUGAAGGUUAUUUCACAGCCUGAAAGUUUUGGACAAGUUGGCACUCACCUAAUUUGAUGCCAAGGGGCAGGUGCUAUGUCCACCUAACACUGUGAAGUAUUUGUGUGCUAUUAAUCCUGGCCAUAAAACAAGAAGUGGCUCAGGUAGAAUAUAACUCUAUUCCCACAUCAGUGAAUGUAAUGAGCAUGGAAAAUGCUACAAACCUAGCCCUUUCAUGUUAUAUUAUUAAUCUGACCUGGCACAACAUGAGUCCACUUUUACAACAAAGAUUGGACAGAGAAUGGGAAAGGAACACAUGUUGACUAUUCUCACAACAAAUCUAAAUAAUCUAAUCUGGUGCGUGGUCCUUCUCAGAAGUUUGUCCAAGUCUGGUUACAAAAUUACAGUGUUUUUUGGGUUUUUUUCAUUAAUUUGGUUUUUUAUUGUAACAAGAAGAGACUCAGUAUGCUCUCUAUCUAAGAAAAGGCUCAAGGUUGCAACAGUUUCAGUUGCUAUUAAGGACUUCAGUCAGAAGAGCACUUAACAUUUUUGGAUGUCAGAAACUCUUUAAUUGAAAAAAGUCACACUUAUAUUCUAUACUUGAGUGGUGUAAUUUUUUUCUCAUUCUUUAAAUGUACCAAGCACCAAUCUUUAGCAUACUGUGGGCUGGAAGAACCACUUCUGAACACUCUUUCAGAGUACAUGUUCUGUACUUUAAAAAGCAGCCGAUUCCACCCCCUUGCUGUUUGGUUUUUUACACUGAAUAGAAUACAAUAUUCAUGAGUGAGACCAGAUCAACAGCCUCCGAGAACGACGCCUUCUCUUCACAGAGCAGCUGCUCAGUGGUUCCCCCAUCCACCCUCCCCAGGCUUGUGCUUCAAACCUGUUCUGAGGAUAUGACUUUAGGAGUGUGGGAACAACGGAGCUGUCACGUCCCUCCAAUUCCCCACAUCUCUUCUGACACUAUCAGUUUGUGACAGCCGUGAGGGUGACUUUAGAGAUACACUCUCCCUGUUGGGAACUGGCCUGCAAACCCUUCGAUACAUGUCACAGAGGCCAUUCAAUGUCUGCCAUACGGUGCUGCCACUUUGGCACAGUUGCACUGUGUUUAAGCUGGUAUCUAGAACUGCUUUUAGCUACUUUAAACUUGUUGAUUCACCCUUGUGACUUGCCGACUUCACGCCUUGCUAAGGAGGUUCUUUGUGACUUGCUGACUCACCACAUCCAGACCUGCAGUGUCACCUCUGUGUGCCUUGUGGCUCGCUGUGUGGUGACACCAUGACUCACUGAAUCGAUACUUUGUGACUUGCUAAGUUGGAGCUUGCUCAGGUGCCACUUUGCAGAGUCAUGACUUUGCAACAUACUGGGUUGUGACUUCGUGACACAUCUGCCACCCUACCCCUUGCAGCAUGUCUGGCUGCUUGCAGAGGACUGUGCACUAUCCUCUGUCUCUCCUCAGUAUGAUUUUAAGACUUUGUUAAGAAACCUGGGAGGUAUUUUCAGAUUAACGCCAAAGUGCAGGGGGCAAACAGAAAGUACAAGUACAGACCCAUCUGUUACCAAGUGCAAUAGAUUGUCUUUUUUUAACUUGGUAUUGUUUGUUUAUCACUUGCCCUGCCUCUGGGCUGUUGCCGUCUUGCUCAUUUUUGUUUCUACUGGUGCUUGUAUAGUUUGUUUCCAAGAGUUUUUCACCAGGCUGUUAAAAUCCAAUAUUGCACUGAAAACUGACCUUGUAAAGUCUCACCUGCUCACGGUACCACAACCGUGGUGGGCUGGAGCAGGACUAAGUCCUUCUCACACCUAGGACUCAUCUUGCCAUGUUUUCUUAUGCCACCUAGCAGCUACUUGCUCACCUCUCUCACGUACUACUGCUGAAGGAAUCAGUCUUUUACUUACCUUUAGAAAACAUGCCCAUCUUUUGCAUGAAGUGCAAUGCCCUGAGCAAGCAGCCAAAAGGGAUGGAAGCUAUUGGAAAUCUGGUGCAAAACAUGAGCUACCGUAGGACACAUCCUGUGGCCUGUUCACAGAGCGAUAAAUGCCCUUGAUUUUUUUUCUGUAGAGUCACCAUGGAGCAUAAUGUCUCACCUUUCAUACAGUACUGAUAUCGCAGUCAUCCAUGCACUCUCCAAGGCAAUGACCCUCAAAAAAUUAGCUGCUCUAACCAGUCCAGCCUGGCCAUGCAAAACCAAAAUUCUCUUUCUGUGUUCUAGCAACACAAAGGUUAAAGGACUCCCUAGAUUUAGCAUGCUGAAAAACAAGGUAAAGUAGCAAAGCACCAGGAUGGCUUUUGUGGUUUAUAAUAUGUCAAUUUGUACAGUAAAUAGGGUCUGUGUUUACUGCUCCCCUGCAGCGAUAACUAUUAAUAAUAAAAGGCCUUGAAAGGAACUGAACUUUCAUGAUAAAGUAUUUCUGACAGCUAUCUCCUCAGCACAACAACUGUUGUCCCCAGAGACUCAUUCAACAUUCAUUUGAAUCGUGGAGAAAGGCGACUAGCUUGGAAGAUGUUUUUUCUGGAGUGCAGAGGGGCACUUUGAUCCUAGCUCAGAUAACAGCUGCUCUACCUGAGCGGAUUUUCGGGUAGAUGUAUCCUUCAGCCCAGGUAAGCCUCAGGGGAGGUGUCUGGUUGACCUCAAAGCUCAGGCAAGGCACCUGAUACCUGAGGGAGGGUCUUUGAAUGAGCAAGAGGACCUGGCAUCACAUUUUAUCAUUCUGUCAGUCUCGCGUUUCUGGCGAGAGACAGCAUACACAGGAAGGGAACUCCUGAAGGGAUUCAAGUCGCACCUUGAAUUUUUUUUUUUUUUUCCCCAUUGUAAAAUAAAAAGGAGGCAGAAAGCCAAAAUACUUUGAUUAGAUUUUGUCUGUACUAUUGUGUUUUCUCACUGCCCCUAGAGAGUACAAAGCACUUCAUUUGAAAUCCAUGACCCUGAUUUCCUGAAGCUGGAGCAAAAAGCAAAUACCUGAUACUUAAUAAACUUCUCAGAGGAAAAUGAAACAGUUCGUAUCAUGCCUGGAAGAGCUACAGUGAUGGGCAUUAUGGAUAUCCCUACAGUAAACAGACAAUACUAGUUACUGCAAAUGUGCCAAAUUAUUUAGUACUUAUACAGGCAAAAAUCCAACUGAAGUUAAUUUUAGCUUUGUUUAGGUAUGACCUGAUAAAAAUUACUGUAUUUUCUUUUUGUUCUAUUAGCAGGAUCUAUGCUGGUUCGUGUAAAUGAAUAUGCAAGAUAUUUGGGAUUUUUUGACUGCAGGAGAAGUGAAAAGAAAUAGAAAUACAGAAGAGAUUGGACUUGUUAAUUGCUUUCCCCGAUCUGUUGUGAAAUAUUUCAAGUUUAAAGCUGCUUAUUUUUAAGCAUGUAAGUUAAUAGUUUUCAAGCUGGGGUCUACAGAUGCCUGGAAGUCCAUGGUCUCUUCCUCAGAGGACCAACAGAAGUAAGUAACAAAAGUAAGUAUUUUAAAUUCAGUAUUCUGCUGGUAAACUUAAAAGAGCGGCAUGUCAAAAAAGGAGUAAAGACUGUUAAUGUAAGUAAUCCGCCUCCUUGUCCAUCCAAAAGCUUAAGCAUGAGAUUAUGGAAUUAAAGCCUUGUAUGCAAACUGUACAUUCAUUCAACUUGUCAUUAUUACACAUACUAAUUUUACUGUUAUAAUAGUUAUUAUAAUCAUUUAAAUGUUGGCUGUAUAAAUCUCUUUAUUCCUGAUGUUAGACAGAACAAAAGCAGAAAACACCACGGAAUACAAAUAGAUUCAACACUGAGUUGGAGACGAUGGAAAACACACUGUGGACAUUCUUCCCAAGUGAUAUCAUGACACAGCAGUUAUUGCAAAGUUGAGCACCAGCAUAGGCCUUUGUCAAGAACCAGAAUACCACUGAACUAACUCCUGUAUAAAUACAGAUUAAGAGCAACUGAAUUGGGAAGCAGCAUUUGUGCAGCUCAGCAAUCUGAUACAGAUCUAGCCACCUCACAACCAGAUGUGAUGGAAAUGGACAUAUCAAGCCAUGGUUGCUAUAUGAAUAUCCAUGGGUAGUAUGGAACUAAGAACACGAAAACUACAGUCCAACUUAGCUGGAGAAUAAUGAUCUGCAUUUGAUUGUGAUAAACACCCAUGGAAACAAUUUUCUCAGUGCACCUGUUGGGGGGAGAAACAAGGCUCCUUCAACCAUCAAUCUGUGGGACCUCAGAGCUGAGCCUGAAAGCAAAGGUGAAAUGAAAUACGAAAAUUGCAGUGCAGCAGAAGAGGAGUCAGCUAUCUGAGGGCCUCUGCUGAAAUCUCAUCUUUCAGCAUCUAAGAGCUCUAGGCACAGAGCAAGAUUUGUGAAAGCACCAGCUUCCCUCAUGCUACAGUAACAGCGGAAGUCAGCUGAGAGAUACAAGCAGAUGUGGGAACAUGAGAGCUCUCCUGGGUAUGGUCCUGUGGGCAGCAGGCUGAGGUGAUGAGAAAUUUUUCACCUUCCAAAAAAUCCUGCUUGUGCUGCUCCUUCUUUUCACUGGUUUACCAAGUUGGUGUUGUAACUUCCUGAUUUGAUGUGGAAGGAUUGCUCUCUCAGCCCAUCUGCACUGUUAAAAGAGCUGCACACAAAUGUAAAAACAGGGGAGGAUUUUUAUUAUUAAAAAAAAAAAAAGAAAGAGAGAAAAUGAAAUUGUCUUCUAAAAGAAGUUUCCCUGAAGCAACAUGAGAGGCAUCUUACGGCAGCGAACUGGAAUCUGAAGAUGGAGCGCAGGGCCACAGAAACAG